UACGUAGGGUGCGAGCGUUGUCCGGAAUUAUUGGGCGUAAAGGGCUCGUAGGCGGUUUGUCGCGUCGGGUGUGAAAACGCCGGGCUUAACUCGGUGCUUGCUUUCGAUACGGGCAGACUAGAGGCAUGCAGGGGAGAACGGAAUUCCUGGUGUAGCGGUGAAAUGCGCAGAUAUCAGGAGGAACACCGGUGGCGAAGGCGGUUCUCUGGGCAUGUCCUGACGCUGAGGAGCGAAAGCGUGGGGAGCGAACAGG
rnacentral:rRNA from 1 species